UACGUAGGGUGCGAGCGUUGUCCGGAUUUAUUGGGCGUAAAGAGCUCGUAGGCGGUGUGUCGCGUCGGCCGUGAAAACCUGCAGCUUAACUGUGGGCGUGCGGUCGAUACGGGCAUCACUGGAGUUCGGCAGGGGAGACUGGAAUUCCUGGUGUAGCGGUGAAAUGCGUAGAUAUCUGGAGGAAUACCGGUGGCGAAGGCGGCAUCCUGGACCGACAUUGACGCUGAGGAGCGAAAGCUAGGGGAGCAAACGGGG
rnacentral:rRNA from 1 species